UACAUCCCAGGAAAGCCUUGUUACAAUUGUGA
rnacentral:piRNA from 1 species